GGUUAAGCGAUUAAGCGUACACGGUGGAUGCCCUGGCAGUCAGAGGCGAUGAAGGGCGUGCUAAUCUGCGAUAAGCGCCGGUAAGGUGAUAUGAACCGUUAUAACCGGCGAUACCCGAAUGGGGAAACCCAGUGUGACUCGUCACACUAUCAUUAACUGAAUCCAUAGGUUAAUGAGGCGAACCGGGGGAACUGAAACAUCUAAGUACCCCGAGGAAAAGAAAUCAACCGAGAUUCCCCCAGUAGCGGCGAGCGAACGGGGAGGAGCCCAGAGCCUGAAUCAGCAUGUGUGUUAGUGGAAGC
rnacentral:rRNA from 1 species